rnacentral:rRNA from 1 species
CAGCCGCCGCGGGAACACGGAGGAUCCAAGCGUUAUCCGGAAUCAUUGGGUUUAAAGGGUCCGUAGGCGGUCUUGUAAGUCAGUGGUGAAAGCCCAUCGCUCAACGGUGGAACGGCCGUUGAUACUGCAGGACUUGAAUUAUUGGGAAGUAACUAGAAUAUGUAGUGUAGCGGUGAAAUGCUUAGAGAUUACAUGGAAUACCAAUUGCGAAGGCAGGUUACUACCAAUUGAUUGACGCUGAUGGACGAAAGCGUGGGUAGCGAACAGGAUUAGAUACCCGAGUAGUCCCUGUCUCUUAUAC